GACGAACGCUGGCGGCGUGCCUAAUACAUGCAAGUUGAGCGCUGAAGGUUGGUACUUGUACCGACUGGAUGAGCAGCGAACGGGUGAGUAACGCGUGGGGAAUCUGCCUUUGAGCGGGGGACAACAUUUGGAAACGAAUGCUAAUACCGCAUAAAAACUUUAAACACAAGUUUUAAGUUUGAAAGAUGCAAUUGCAUCACUCAAAGAUGAUCCCGCGUUGUAUUAGCUAGUUGGUGAGGUAAAGGCUCACCAAGGCGAUGAUACAUAGCCGACCUGAGAGGGUGAUCAGCCACAUUGGGACUGAGACACAGCCCCAACUCCUACUGGAGGCAGCAGUAGGGAAUCUUCGGCAAUGGACGACAGUCUGACCGAGCACCGCCGCGUGAGUGCAGAAGGUUUUCGGCUCGUCAAACUCUGUUGGUAGAGAAGAACGUUGGUGAGCGUGGCAAGCUCAUCAAGUGACGGUCACUACCCAGAAAGGGACGGCUAACUACGUG
rnacentral:rRNA from 1 species